rnacentral:piRNA from 1 species
CACCAUGGAAGCUCACCGGGCAG